UAAAGUUUAAUCCAACUAUUGGGUUAAAAUAAAUCAUAGUUGGGAAGGUGCUCUACUAAUCCAAUAGUUAGGUUAUUGGGGUUAUUUUUAACCCAACAUUUUUUAAGUGAGUUUGUUUUCUUGCAGGAUAUAGGAGGACUCCAUGACACAACAACAGUUACAAUAACGGUUGAAGAUUUUGACAACCUAAACCCUUAUUUUGACCACUGUCUCUACAAGGCAUCCAUUGAGGAAAAUCAGGUAGGACACUUCUCAGCCGUCACUCCUGAGGCCAUAAAAGCUGAAGAUGGCGACAAAGGCAUCAAUGAGCCUGUAGUUUACAGCAUAACGACAGGUUCUACACAGUCAUUCCAAAUAAACACCAGAACAACUUUGAAAUUGAUCGAAACAGUGGAGUCAUCUCUGUGACAACGGCACUAGACAGAGAGGAAACAGAGC